rnacentral:rRNA from 1 species
GACGAACGCUGGCGGCGUGCUUAACACAUGCAAGUCGAACGGUGAUCUUGAGAGCUUGCUCUUGGGUGAUCAGUGGCGAACGGGUGAGUAACACGUGAGUAACCUGCCCCUGACUCUGGAAUAACUUCGGGAAACCGAAGCUAAUACCGGAUAUGACACAGAGCCGCAUGGUUUCUGUGUGGAAAGUUUUUCGGUUGGGGAUGGACUCGCGGCCUAUCAGCUUGUUGGUGAGGUAAUGGCUCACCAAGGCGACGACGGGUAGCCGGCCUGAGAGGGCGACCGGCCACACUGGGACUGAGACACGGACCAGACUCCUACGGGAGGCAGCAAGUGAGGAAUAUUGGUCAAUGGGCGGAAGCCUGAACCAGCCAUGCCGCGUGCAGGAUGACGGCCCUACGGGUUGUAAACUGCUUUUCCCCGGGGCGAACUAACCCCUCGCGACGGGGAGUGGCCGGUACCGGGGAAGUAAGGAGUCGGCGUAACUCCGUCGCCAGCAGCCGCGGUAAAUACGACGUGUACG